GGAUCCAGACUUUGAUCCUGGCUCAGGAUGAGCGCUAGCUACAGGCUUAACACAUGCAAGUCGAGGGGAAACGACAUCGAAAGCUUGCUUUUGAUGGGCGUCGACCGGCGCACGGGUGAGUAACGCGUAUCCAACCUGCCCAUCACUUGGGGAUAACCUUGCGAAAGUAAGACUAAUACCCAAUGAUAUCUCUAGAAGACAUCUGAAGGAGAUUAAAGAUUUAUCGGUGAUGGAUGGGGAUGCGUCUGAUUAGCUUGUUGGCGGGGUAACGGCCCACCAAGGCGACGAUCAGUAGGGGUUCUGAGAGGAAGGUCCCCCACAUUGGAACUGAGACACGGUCCAAACUCCUACGGGAGGCAGCAGUGAGGAAUAUUGGUCAAUGGGCGAGAGCCUGAACCAGCCAAGUAGCGUGCAGGAUGACGGCCCUAUGGGUUGUAAACUGCUUUUAUAAGGGAAUAAAGUGAGUCUCGUGAGACUUUUUGCAUGUACCUUAUGAAUAAGGACCGGCUAAUUCCGUGCCAGCAGCCGCGGUAAUACGGAAGGUCCGGGCGUUAUCCGGAUUUAUUGGGUUUAAAGGGAGCGUAGGCCGGAGAUUAAGCGUGUUGUGAAAUGUAGAUGCUCAACAUCUGCACUGCAGCGCGAACUGGUUUCCUUGAGUACGCACAAAGUGGGCGGAAUUCGUGGUGUAGCGGUGAAAUGCUUAGAUAUCACGAAGAACUCCGAUUGCGAAGGCAGCUCACUGGAGCGCAACUGACGCUGAAGCUCGAAAGUGCGGGUAUCGAACAGGAUUAGAUACCCUGGUAGUCCGCACGGUAAACGAUGGAUGCCCGCUGUUGGUCUGAAUAGGUCAGCGGCCAAGCGAAAGCAUUAAGCAUCCCACCUGGGGAGUACGCCGGCAACGGUGCAACUCAAAUGAAUUGACGG
rnacentral:rRNA from 2 species